rnacentral:lncRNA from 1 species
CUAGAAGCAAUAAUGUCCCGCAGUGAUCCAGUAUUCCAAGUAUCCAAUCUCUAUGUUAUGUUAUGCAUGAACCAUAAAUCUGUGUCCCAAAUAAUUAUUGGUUCUAAGGAACGAUGUUUUCAUAUGUUACUGAUUUAUUUAAGUCGGGAUUAGUCAAAAUGAUAAAGUUGUGUGAACUCAUGACUAUUUCAGCUCUAGAAAUGAGAAGCAAUAGCUUCGAGAAGAAGUC